UUACCACACAUUCUCUUAUAGUCUUUCUGGGUGAGAAGCCUUCAAACGCCUUUCCACCUUGAAAACACAUUCCAGAGCUGAAGGGAAUGCGGAAAGUGGGGAGACUGCUGGAAGUUAUAAGCCCUCCUCCCAGGAGAGCAGGGACAACUUGGAGCCUUCUGACCCCUGCACCAAGCCGGGGAGAAGCGGCAACGGCGAGCCCUCCAUCAGAGAAGUAAUCAGGGUUGGAAAAGCCCCCAAGUCCCAGGCAGCAGCUGGAACAAUGAAGGAGAGCCGGCAGCUGCCAGGAUCCCAGAAAAGAAGACCUAACAAUGACACCCAUCCAGAAAGGUGAAGUCCUCCUGGCAAUGUUCUCUUUAACCUAUGAUAUAUGUUACGAAGAGUGGACCAAGGUUCUGUUUUUAACUGGUGGCGGAGCAACAAAGAAACUAAGUUUUAUCCUCUCUUCCACUGCUGGACUUGAAGAUUUGGCCAAUGGACAUGAUUCCUUUUCACUGAAGCCUCCUAGAAACUGAAAUUUGUGCUGUGCUUGAAGAAGAUGCUUUGUGGAUAUUUUCAGAUGCACACCUAAGAUUGUUAUUCUCAUUUAAAAUUUUAAUUUCUAAUAUGUGUUUAUUUCUUCUACAUGCCUUUCAUUAUUAAUUAAAUUGUAUGUAUAUUGGUGGUUCAAAAGGAUGUAAUUUUCUUUCUAAAUUUAUGUAGCCCAUCUUUUGUAUAAUCGUAUUAAUUUUCAAU